AAAAAAAUAGCUCAGUUGGGAGAGCGUUAGACUGAAGAUCUAAAGGUCCCUGGUUCGAUCCCGGGUUUCGGCAGGUAUUCA